UCUACCUGCUUCUCCUCAGAUGCUGCAGGAGAAGCUUUUUCACUCUCCAACGCCUCGAAAUCAAAGUACAGCAGCAGCAGCAGCAACAAAAAAAGAAGAAGAAGAAGAAGAAGAAAUCCAGCUGAUAUGCAAUGGAGGAGGUGGAGCAUCUCUUACACUACACACGAGCGCUCUUGAAUAAACAGAAAUCGCGCAAGGCGAGAAGAGAAGAAGAAAAACAACAACAACAUUUUGACCUGCUAAUUAAGAGGCGCUGUCGGGGAUGCCACUGCUCCUUCGCUCUCAGCCAUGUGCCAAAAACACGGUCUCCGUCUCCCGGCCUCCCUCCGCCUGGAGAGACAAAAGGCGACGCAGCUACUCCGAGACGCACAUCAGUGCAGAACAUAUUCAAUGGAGCGCCAGUCAUUGGUACCUGCUGGACCAAAACAUGUUGGUUAUUGUAAGAAAUUGUAAACAAGAAGUCGUCGUCUGAGGACCGCGAAAGACUCAAGUGUUGUCGAGAUGUCGAGUGAUGGAAAGAUGAAUAGACCAACCACGGCUUACUCAUCAUUCUCGGGCGCAAACCCCCAGCACAAAAAAAGAAAGAUAAGUAAACCUGCAUGUGCAGGAGGAGAACGUGUAAACUCAGCACAUAUAGAAUGACUGCUGUGAGUUUUUAUUGUUACAGCUUGCAGGUGCUUUUUUAUCAUUUAAGUGACGGAGAUAUAAUAAAAAAUACGGGAGAUCUCGGGAGAGAGCUCCAGAGGGCAGGGGCUGCCACAAGGAAUGCCCCGUCACCAUAGGUUCUCGGGGACGUACAAUGGAUGGCGAGCAGACCUGAAUGAGAGGUAGAAGAUUACUGAUCUUGCAGAUUUCAAAACUGCGAGACGCUCCAGAAGAUCGUCAAGAAUGCGCCAUAAAUCUACUUAUAUAACAUCCCUUUCGGAUAAACAGUACUUGAGGGAUUAAGGUAGAGCAAGAAGCUUUCUCAUCCCCUAACAUCUGAAGGACGAUGUUGAAGCCACAGUGCAGCGGGCGAUAAGAGGAUGGACGGGCGGCACUAUAUCAGCGUUUCCAAAGGGAAGUACAUACCGUCUUUGGAGAUGUACAUAUAGAUGCAUUUCUAAUUGGCACACGGAGGACACCGGGGGUUUCUGCAGUGGAGAGCCAUUCAGUGGUAGCGACUCUGAAAUGAUGGAUACCGAGUCUGGCAGCGGAGAUAAAAACAAGCCCACAAAAAGUUGUAGGUGAGGGGGAGAGCAAAAAGGCAAUGGAUGCAUAUCAUUGGAAACACAUUUAGCAGUGAGCAAUAACCAGACUGGGAGCAGAAGAGAACACAAGCACUUGAUACUUGUAAAAUGGUGUCUACAGUGUCUUGCAGUGUCAGUAUCGCCCAGUGUAUACCAUAGAAGAUUUGAAUUAAUUAGGACGUGGGCCAGUCACAUUUGUAUUUAAUUUUUCCUGGGGUAUUUUAAGCAUUUAUCAGACAGGAAGGGUAGAGACUAACAA